AAGUCGUAACAAGGUUUCCGUAGGUGAACCUGCGGAAGGAUCAUUCAUAAUAAAGUGUUUUAUGGCACUUUUUUAAAAAAUCCAUAUCCACCUUGUGUGCAAUGUUUUUUAGAUCUAGCCAAAAUGAUAUUUUGGUUAGGUUUUAUUAUAUUACAUCAACUCUUAUUUAACUUGAUUUGUCUGAAAAAUAUUAUGAAUUUUUUAACUUAAUUCAAAAUACAACUUUCAACAACGGAUCUCUUGGCUCUC
rnacentral:misc_RNA from 1 species